CCUACGGGAGGCUGCAGUGGGGAAUAUUGGACAAUGGGGGCAACCCUGAUCCAGCCAUGCCGCGUGUGUGAAGAAGGCCCUCGGGUUGUAAAGCACUUUCAGUGAGGAAGAACGCCUGGUGGUUAAUACCCAUCAGGAAAGACAUCACUCACAGAAGAAGCACCGGCUAACUCCGUGCCAGCAGCCGCGGUAAUACGGAGGGUGCGAGCGUUAAUCGGAAUUACUGGGCGUAAAGCGCGCGUAGGUGGCUUGAUAAGCCGGUUGUGAAAGCCCCGGGCUCAACCUGGGAACGGCAUCCGGAACUGUCAAGCUAGAGUGCAGGAGAGGAAGGUAGAAUUCCCGGUGUAGCGGUGAAAUGCGUAGAGAUCGGGAGGAAUACCAGUGGCGAAGGCGGCCUUCUGGACUGACACUGACACUGAGGUGCGAAAGCGUGGGUAGCAAACAGGGUUAGAUACCCGAGUAGUC
rnacentral:rRNA from 1 species